UGCUUGCGUUUAUAAAUAGAUCCAGCACUCAAAUUUUGCAGAGGGGUAAUAGGCAAUGAAGUAGCAAACUUUUGACCAGCACACCAAUUUAAGUAAAAAAAAAAAUCGAAUUUGUCUGCUGAAUCCAUGGGAAGGCAAGAGAGAACCAGGCGAACUGAAAGAUCUUAGUAGCCAAAGGAAAAGAAAGCAAAAGCGAUUCCCGUAGUAGCGGCGGGCAAAAUGGGAGCUGUCUAAACCGUGAAAACGGGGUUGUGGGAGAGCAAUACAAGCGGCGUGCAGCUAGGUGAAGCAGCCCGAAUGCUGCACCGUAGAUGGCUAAGGGCAAAUUUCUAUAUCUCGCAUCUACGGAAUAUGAGAAUCUCUUUCGUCGAAAUGAAAGAAUUUUCUAUUGAAUGGAAGAUGAUUUUAUAUCAUCAAGUAA
rfam:Nicotiana sylvestris Nsyl_contig69262, whole genome shotgun sequence.